UUAUUACGCCUCCGUCAGGAAAUACUUGUCAUAAUGAAUAAAAGAAGAUAUAUCUAGACAUAUAUUAGUUUUAGAUACAUUUUUUUAUUCAUUUUGAUGACAAGUAUUUUUGGACGGAGGGAGUAGAAG
rfam:Triticum aestivum genome assembly, contig: Triticum_aestivum_CS42_TGACv1_scaffold_558522_7AL